rnacentral:rRNA from 1 species
CAGUCGAACGAAGCAUAUAAAAGGAAUUUCUUCGGAGAGGAAUUUUAUAUGACUGAGUGGCGGACGGGUGAGUAACGCGUGGGCAACCUACCCCACACAGGGGGACAACAGUUGGAAACGACUGCUAAUACCGCAUAGGCGCACAGCUUCGCAUGAAGCAGUGUGGAAAACCGAGGUGGUGUGGGAUGGGCCCGCGUCUGAUUAGCUAGUUGGCGGGGUAACGGCCCACCAAGGCGACGAUCAGUAGCCGGCCUGAGAGGGUGGACGGCCACAUUGGGACUGAGACACGGCCCAAACUCCUACGGGAGGCAGCAGUGGGGAAUAUUGCACAAUGGGGGAAACCCUGAUGCAGCGACGCCGCGUGAGCGAAGAAGUAUUUCGGUAUGUAAAGCUCUAUCAGCAGGGAAGAAAAUGACGGUACCUGACUAAGAAGCCCCGGCUAAAUACGUGCCAGCAGCCGCGGUAAUACGUAUGGGGCAAGCGUUAUCCGGAUUUACUGGGUGUAAAGGGAGCGCAGGCGGCUUGGCAAGUCUGAUGUGAAAGGCUGGGGCUCAACCCCAGGACUGCAUUGGAAACUGUUAGGCUAGAGUGUCGGAGAGGUAAGCGGAAUUCCUAGUGUAGCGGUGAAAUGCGUAGAUAUUAGGAGGAACACCAGUGGCGAAGGCGGCUUACUGGACGACAACUGACGCUGAGGCUCGAAAGCGUGGGGAGCAAACAGGAUUAGAUACCCUGGUAGUCCACGCCGUANACGAUGAAUACUAGGUGUCGGUGGGNAAAGCCCAUCGGUGCCGCAGCAAACGCAGUAAGUA